CACGUAGGGCGCAAGCGUUGUCCGGAAUUAUUGGGCGUAAAGAGCUCGUAGGCGGUCUGUUACGUCUGCUGUGAAAACUCGGGGCUUAACCCCGAGCCUGCAGUGGAUACGGGCAGACUGGAGUACUGCAGGGGAGACUGGAAUUCCUGGUGUAGCGGUGGAAUGCGCAGAUAUCAGGAGGAACACCGGUGGCGAAGGCGGGUCUCUGGGCAGUAACUGACGCUGAGGAGCGAAAGCGUGGGGAGCGAACAGG
rnacentral:rRNA from 1 species